UACCAGCACCCCGAGUGGUCGGGACGAUUAUUGGGCCUAAAGCAUCCGUAGCCGGUUUUACAAGUCCUCCGUUAAAUCCAGCUGCUUAACAGAUGGGCUGCGGAGAAUACUAUAAGACUAGGAGGCAGGAGAGGCAAGCGGUACUCAGUGGGUAGGGGUAAAAUCCGUUGAUCCAUUGAAGACCACCAGUGGCGAAGGCGGCUUGCCAGAAUGCGCUCGACGGUGAGGGAUGAAAGCUGGGGGAGCAAACCGGG
rnacentral:rRNA from 1 species